rnacentral:rRNA from 1 species
GUUUCCUACGGGGGGCAGCAGUGGGGAAUAUUGCACAAUGGGGGAAACCCUGAUGCAGCAACGCCGCGUGAAGGAAGACGGUUUUCGGAUUGUAAACUUCUGUUCUUAGUGAAGAAGAAUGACGGUAGCUAAGGAGCAAGCCACGGCUAACUACGUGCCAGCAGCCGCGGUAAUACGUAGGUGGCAAGCGUUGUCCGGAAUUACUGGGUGUAAAGGGAGCGCAGGCGGGAAGCCAAGUCAGCUGUGAAAACUACGGGCUCAACUUGUCGACUGCAGUUGAAAUUGGGUUUCUUGAGUGAAGUAGG